GCGUGUAGGAUGAAGGUCUUCGGAUUGUAAACUACUUUUUCCAUGGGACGAAGCUUCGGCUGACGGUACCAUGGGAAUAAGAGGUUGCUAACUCUGUGCCAGCAGCAGCGGUAAUACAGAGACCUCAAGCGUUAUCCGGAUUUAUUGGGCGUAAAGCGUGCGCCGGCUGUUCGUUAAGUCUCUCGUCAAAUCUCUGGGCUCAACCCAGGGGGCUGCGGGGGAUACUGGCGAACUCGAGGAUGGGGAGAGGCAAGCGGAAUUACCGGUGUAGUAGUAAAAAUGCGUUAAUAUCGGUAAGAACACCAAAGGCGAAGGCAGCUUGCUGGAACAUUCCUGACGCUCAAGCACGAAAGCGUGGGGAGCGAAGCGGAUUAGAUACCCGCGUAGUCCACGCCCUAAACGAUGGAUGCUGGAUUUUGGGAGUAUCGACCCUCCCAGAGUCGUCAAAACAAGCUAACGCGUUAAGCAUCCCGCCUGGGGAGUACGGUCGCAAGACUA
rnacentral:rRNA from 1 species